CAGUCGCCGCGGUAAUACGUAGGUGGCAAGCGCUGUCCGGAAUUAUUGGGCGUAAAGCGCGCGCAGGUGGUUUAAUAAGUCUGAUGUGAAAGCCCACGGCUCAAUCGUGGAGGGUCAUUGGAAACUGUUAAACUUGAGUGCAGGAGAGAAAAGUGGAAUUCCUAGUGUAGCGGUGAAAUGCGUAGAGAUUAGGAGGAACACCAGUGGCGAAGGCGGCUUUUUGGCCUGUAACUGACACCGAGGCGCGAAAGCUAGGGGAGCAAAUGGGAUUAGAUACCCCAGUAGUCCCUGUCUCUUAUAC
rnacentral:rRNA from 1 species